AUGGCCUGGACUCCUCUCUUCCUCCUGUUCCUCUCUCUCUGCUCAGGUUCCCCGUCCCAGCCCGUGCUGACCCAGCCGCCCUCCCUUCUCCGCAUCUCCGGGAACGACGGCCAGACUCACCCGCACCUGAGCAGUGGCUUCAGUGUGGGUGACUAUAGCAUAUUCUGGUACCAGCAGCAACCUGGGAGCCCUCCCCGGGAUCUUCUAUAUUACUCUUCAGACUCCGAGAAGCACCAGGGCUCCGGGGUCCCCAGCCGCUUCUCGGGCUCCAAAGACGCCUCGGCCAAUGCAGGGCUUCUGCGCAUCUCGGGGCUGCAGGCUGAGGCCGAGGCGGACCAUCACUGUGCUCUAUAUCAUUAUAUUGGGAACGACUAUCAUUACUCAUAG